AAAAAAUUGAGUUUGAUGGUGGCUCUGAAUGAACGCUGUCCAAGUGCUUGACACAUGCUAAUCGAACGUCUAAUUUAAUGAAAAAUUAAUAUUUUAUUUCAUUAGAAGUGGUGUACAAGUGAGUAAAUGAUGUUUUGGCAACCUUAAAGUAAGGCUAAUAAAUACCUUAUAAAUAAAAGGAAAUAACUUUCCGCUUUAAGAAGACAAUAAACAUUUCGGAUAGGUAGUUGUUAAAGUAAUGGUUUAACAAGCUUAACAUUCCGUAAUCAAGGCUGAGAGGUCCAUUGAUCACGUUGGGUCUGAAAAAACCCCAAUACGUUUUAGUACAGCAGUGGGGAAUAUUGGUCAAUAGCCUAACGGCUGAACCAGCAACUUGGGAGAAUGAAUAGCUUCGGCUAGUAACGCUUGUUAGUUUAAUUUAAAGUAAUUAAAAAAAAUUUAAAUUAUUUAAAGUUAUUCUUUUCUUUUAAAAAAUCGAAUAGUGUUAUAGCGAUUUUAUCGAAUAUAGUUCUAGAUAAUAAUUUAAUGAUUAUGACAGUUUAUUAUCUAUAUGUCUUGACCAAUUUACGUGCCAGCAGUCGCGGUAAUACGUAUAAGACUAGUGUUAUUCAUCUUAAAUAGGUUUAAAGGGUACCUAGACGGUAUAAUAAGUCUAAAACAAGAUACUAUUGUACUAGAGUUAUAUAUGAGGAGGGGAGUAUUUUUGGAGUAGAGUUGAUAUUCAUUGAUACCAGAACGACUGGUAAAGGCGAAAGCAACCUUUUAUUUAAUAACUGACGUUGAGGGACGAAGGCUCGGGUAACAAACAGGAUUAGAUACCCUAAUAGUCUGAGCAGAGAAUGAUGAAUGCCAUAGGUUAGAUGUUUAUUUAGUCUAUAAAUGAAAGUGUAAGCAUUUCACCUCAAGAGUAAGAUGGCAACGUUGAAACUGAAACCAUUAGACCGUUUCUGAAACCAGUAGUGAAGUAUGUUAUUUAAUUCGUUAGCCCUCGAAAAACCUUACCACAACUUGAAUAUUAUCUUAGUAAUACUAUUAUAGUAUGAAUUGAAAAAAUAUAUUAGUAUUUAUAUUAUUCUAUUUUUUCUGAAGAUAUUACAAGUGUUGCACGGCUGUCUUCAGUUAAUGUCGCGAGAUAUUGGUUAAUUCCAUGCAAUUAACGGAAACCCUUGCUUUAUUUGCUAAUUAUAUAAAUAAAGCAGUUCACUAUUAUAUUGGAUAUGAUAACAGGGACCAAGACAAGUCAUCAUGGCCUUAAUGUUGUGGGCAAUAGACGUGCCAUAUAUUCCUAUACAAAUCGAUGCGAUAAUGCGAAUUAGAGCUAAUCUAAAUAAAGUAGGAUAAAACAAGGAUUAUAGUCUGAAAUUCGACUAUAUGAAUAAGGAAUUACUAGUAAUCGUGAAUCACCACGUCACGGUGGAUUUUAUCUCAGAUAGGUACUAACUACUCGUCAGGCGCUGAAAUUAGUGUGUGCAAUAAGUUUAGUCUUUAACUUUUCAUUUUUCUAGAUAAUUGAUUCUAGUUAGUAAUUUGAAAGAUUUUCGUAUGCGUGACUUUGAUUGGUGUUAAGUCGAAAUAUGGUUCGUGUAGUGGAAGUUGCACGGGAUUUAUUAAAUUU
rnacentral:rRNA from 1 species